rnacentral:tRNA from 1 species
GCUUCCAUAGCUCAGUAGGUAGAGUGCAUCCUUGGUAAGGAUGAGGUCACGGGUUCAAUUCCCGUUGGAAGCUCCA